rnacentral:piRNA from 1 species
ACGGUGUCUAUUGCGGGAUAGAGGCUGA